AUGAACGCUAGCGACGGGCUUAACACAUGCAAGUCGAGGGGCAGCGGGGGUAGCGAUACCCGCCGGCGACCGGCGCACGGGUGAGUAACGCGUAUGCAACUUGCCUAUCAGAGGGGGAUAACCCGGCGAAAGUCGGACUAAUACCGCAUGAAGCAGGGGCCCCGCAUGGGGAUAUUUGCUAAAGAUUCAUCGCUGAUAGAUAGGCAUGCGUUCCAUUAGGCAGUUGGCGGGGUAACGGCCCACCAAACCGACGAUGGAUAGGGGUUCUGAGAGGAAGGUCCCCCACAUUGGUACUGAGACACGGACCAAACUCCUACGGGAGGCAGCAGUGAGGAAUAUUGGUCAAUGGGCGUAAGCCUGAACCAACCAAGUCGCGUGAGGGAUGAAGGUUCUAUGGAUCGUAAACCUCUUUUAUAAGGGAAUAAAGUGCGGGACGUGUCCCGUUUUGUAUGUACCUUAUGAAUAAGGAUCGGCUAACUCCGUGCCAGCAGCCGCGGUAAUACGGAGGAUCCGAGCGUUAUCCGGAUUUAUUGGGUUUAAAGGGUGCGUAGGCGGCCUUUUAAGUCAGCGGUGAAAGUCUGUGGCUCAACCAUAGAAUUGCCGUUGAAACUGGGGGGCUUGAGUAUGUUUGAGGCAGGCGGAAUGCGUGGUGUAGCGGUGAAAUGCAUAGAUAUCACGCAGAACCCCGAUUGCGAAGGCAGCCUGCCAAGCCAUUACUGACGCUGAUGCACGAAAGCGUGGGGAUCAAACAGGAUUAGAUACCCUGGUAGUCCACGCAGUAAACGAUGAUCACUAGCUGUUUGCGAUACACUGUAAGCGGCACAGCGAAAGCGUUAAGUGAUCCACCUGGGGAGUACGCCGGCAACGGUGAAACUCAAAGGAAUUGACGGGGGCCCGCACAAGCGGAGGAACAUGUGGUUUAAUUCGAUGAUACGCGAGGAACCUUACCCGGGUUUGAACGCAUUCGGACCGAGGUGGAAACACCUUUUCUAGCAAUAGCCGUUUGCGAGGUGCUGCAUGGUUGUCGUCAGCUCGUGCCGUGAGGUGUCGGCUUAAGUGCCAUAACGAGCGCAACCCUUGCCACUAGUUACUAACAGGUAAAGCUGAGGACUCUGGUGGGACUGCCAGCGUAAGCUGCGAGGAAGGCGGGGAUGACGUCAAAUCAGCACGGCCCUUACAUCCGGGGCGACACACGUGUUACAAUGGCGUGGACAAAGGGAGGCCACCUGGCGACAGGGAGCGAAUCCCCAAACCACGUCUCAGUUCGGAUCGGAGUCUGCAACCCGACUCCGUGAAGCUGGAUUCGCUAGUAAUCGCGCAUCGGCCAUGGCGCGGUGAAUACGUUCCCGGGCCUUGUACACACCGCCCGUCAAGCCAUGGGAGCCGGGGGUACCUGAAGUCCGUAACCGCGAGGAUCGGCCUAGGGUAAAACUGGUGACUGGGGCU
rnacentral:rRNA from 1 species